UACGUAGGGGGCAAGCGUUGUCCGGAAUCAUUGGGCGUAAAGAGCGUGUAGGCGGCCUGGUAAGUCCGCUGUGAAAGUCCAGGGCUCAACCCUGGAAUGCCGGUGGAAACUGUCAGGCUCGAGUCCGGAAGAGGCGAGUGGAAUUCCUGGUGUAGCGGUGAGAUGCGCAGAUAUCAGGAGGAACACCAAUGGCGAAGGCAGCUCGCUGGGACGGAACUGACGCUGAGACGCGAAAGCGUGGGGAGCAAACAGG
rnacentral:rRNA from 1 species